AUUUUGGACAAUGGGGGAAACCCUGAUCCAGCCAUCCCGCGUGUAUGAUGAAGGCCUUCGGGUUGUAAAGUACUUUUGGCAGAGAAGAAAAGGUAUCUCCUAAUCCAAGAUACUGCUCGCGGCAUCUGCAGCAUAAACACCGGCUCACUCCGUGCCAGCAGCCGCGGUAAUACGUAGGGUGCAAGAGUUAAUCGGAAUUACUGGGCGUAAAGCGUGUGUAGGCGGUUCGGAAAGAAAGAUGUGAAAUCCCAGGGCUCAACCUUGGAACUGCAUUUUUAACUGCCGAGCUAGAGUAUGUCAGAGGGGGGUAGAAUUCCACGUGUAGCAGUGAAAUGCGUAGAUAUGUGGAGGAAUACCGAUGGCGAAGGCAGCCCCCUGGGAUAAUACUGACGCUCAGACACGAAAGCGUGGGGAGCAAACA
rnacentral:rRNA from 1 species